CAGAGAUGCAAUGUUCGCAUUCUAGCAAACACAAAAUUUUAAUAAUAUCAAUAAUUACUUUCCACUUUACUCAAGCAUAUAUGCAUAUAUAUGGUUCUCAUUGAAAAAGUUAUUAACUUACAUUAUAUUAAGUAACUGGUAAGAUGAUCAAAGUUUGAUAUAAAAUGCAUCUCAUCGAUCGCAUUCCAUACAGAUACAUCUUCCAGAGAACCUUUUAGAGCAACCAUCUCAUCAUCAAUUAAUCCAUGGAUAGAGUUUGGCUUGUUAUAUGGUAUUCCAUCCCCUCCUUAAAAAAAAUUAAAAUUAUUAAAGGGAUGAAGAACUUAAAAAAAAAAAAAAUACUGAUCUUCAUGUGCUACCAUCAAGCACAUAAAUAGCUAUUGGAUUGUGCCUGCUGGCAUGGGUGUAGCUGGAGCUCUUCUUCUCCUUCCAUAUGUUUAUUUACUUUCUAAUAAAUUUCUCUGCUUCAUAAAAAAAAAAAGGCUUAUUAUCAUCAUGCAGCCGGAGCACAAUCACUAUCGUCGUCGUCGUCGUCGUCAUCACCAUUUAAAGAUGCUGCAGGAGCAUAGUCAUAAUCUCCAUCGUCAUCAUCGCCAUCGCCUUCAGUAAUAUAUGGAGUUGGUGCAUGAUAAUAUUUAUCAUCACCAAUUUCUCCCUCAUCAUCAAAACGGUAAUGGCACCAAGAGGCAAUGAUUUUGGACAUGGGAGACAUUUUAAUUAUAUUAUAGAAACAGGGGAAGGAAAGUAAAAAAAAAAUCUGUGAAUUUGGGGUC
rnacentral:misc_RNA from 1 species